GCCCCAGUGGCCUAAUGGAUAAGGCAUUGGUCUCCGGAACCAAGGAUUAUGGGUUUGAGUCCCAUCUGGGGUA